CAGACUCAGCUAGUUCUCAGAUGAAUUUUAAAUGGAAAAAGGAAAAAAAAAAGAAGAGUUAGCACUAAGAUCCACCAAUGCCUUGAGGCCCCCUGCAACUGCAGAAAACUGGGCAUGUGGGAUAAGGAUGAUUCCUGAGGCAUCCUUCUGAAGUAAACUCAGCCACUCCCUCUACUCAAGAUUCCUAGACAAUCAGCCUUUGGAAUCAACUUGUUCCCUACCCCAAUUUUGGCUUUUACUCAAAUAUACAUGAUUCCAGACACACAGGCUCCUUCAGAUAAGCUAUCUCCAACAGGACAACCACUCUGGUGAGCUACACCCAUCUCGUGAUCUGAGGCUGCCAUUUCCUUCCACUGCAAAUGCAAACCUGAGCUAGAGUUCACAGAAGAAGCACGUCACUAUGAUAGUUGAUGGGCAAAAUAUCGCUGCUUCCACAUUCUCUUAAUGGAUGAAUAAAAUUGCCCUUCACUUAUUGGGUCAUGUAACCAGAUGGGCAUUUUCUUGUGGAAUUGUAAGUAUAGCACGCAAGUUAGUGCAUAGUGAAUACAAGUGAGUGGACAUAAAAAGCCACACCUCUCUGUAUGUCCACAAAAGGGGUCUCUGUUCCUCCAGGACUGUGUGGAUUUAUGCACAGCCUCCUAUUAACAUCUGAUUAUCCAAGAAAUCCCCACCACACCAAGAAGAGAAAGCGCCAAAGAAUUCUGUUGCAGCAAUGUAGGUGACCUGGUAAAGUCCAACAAAAGCGGAUGGGGGCUAGGAGGUGGGAAACUAUUUUGCAGCUAGAACAAUGAUCAGACCUAAGGUCCCAAUUAAACAAGGUACUUAGGCAUGUGAGUAUUCCUAUUUAAAUCUAUUAAGCAUGCAUCCAACUUUCAGCAUGUGAAGUACUUUGCUGAAGCAGGGCCUAACUAGUUAGGUUCUAGAGGGCUUUAUAACUGGUUCAAUGGGCCUGAUCUGCACAGUUCUGCUCUGGAUCUAAACCAGAAGGUGUUUGAAUCUAAGCAGUUUAUCUGUUGCCUGUCGGGUGUUCACCAGAAGUAUCAAUAAAAUUAUGCACUGUGGAAGGAAGAAAAGUUUUAUCAGACAGAGACAUUGAUCAAGUGCCAUCUUAUAGGUGCUAACAGACCCGAGAUUUGCAAGAGACAAGGCCAUAAGAAAGUCUCAGUUUGGCACCACGGACUUCACAUUUCUGUUAGCAGGUACACUGCUGCCUCACACAGCAGGACAGUGCAUCUCUUCCUUGCAAGAAAGUAAUCCCUGUUACCCAAGAAGCCAUGGAUGGUACAUGAGGGUCUUUCAGCAGCUGUAGAAAGAUAUGCUGCAGUCAAGAUAAUGAAGACCUGUUUUACCAUUGGGAUCCUAUGAGGAGAAGAGAUAUAUUUCAUUGUAUGGGGAAACCCAAGAACAAUGUGUUUGUUUUAUAAAAACUCCCUGUAGAUAUGUACUACUUUGCAAUCUCACUACAGGUGUGCUGAGAAGCCUAUAGGAAAACUGCACCACCAGCAAAGGUGGGUUUCAGUAUGGCCCAUUUUGCAUAAUCUGUGUGCGGUUAAAUAAAAUUGAUGUAAUCAAAAUAUUGGCUGUUUUAAAAGUUAUCUAUAUUCACCAGUUAUUUGAUUAGGCGGUUUUAAGUCAAGAUUUGAAUAUGUGGUAAUGGCAGGUUAUUGUGGGAGAGUGAUAGGUUCAGUUCACUGAGCAUGUUAACAAAGAUAUAAAGGCCAACGUUUUCAAAAACAGGUGCCUAAAGUUAGACUCCUAAAUUCAUAAGUGGACUGAUUUUCAAAACUACUGAG